rnacentral:lncRNA from 1 species
UCCUCUACUUUUAAUACAAUGUAAAUCUCACACAAAAAGAAGUCAAUGCUUCUAAAUUUUUCAAAUUUUCUUUAGUCUUACUACCCGGAACGCCUUGCGAAAUGCUACAUCUUACAUAUGCCGGGAUUCUUCGUGACUGUUUGGAGAUUCGUCUGCCGUUUCCUAGAGAAAACAACUCAGGAAAAGGUUUGAUCUUUAAUCAUCUCGUGAUGUAUCUAUCUCCACAAAUUCAUUUUUUAAGCAAAUCUGAAGCACGUUACUUUUUUUUUCCCUGGUUUUAUAGAUUGUAAUAGUAACAGACGGAGAAGAACAGAGAAAAUUUGAGGAGGAGGUUGGAUUAGAGGCUUUACCUGAAGAAUACGGAGGCCGAGCUAAGCUCACAUUAAUCCAAGAUGUCAUUCUUCCUCAGACUGCUCCACCAAUGUUACCAACAAACAAUAAUGCUUAAUUCUUAAUUCUUGGAAAAGCAUUUAACCCUUCAAACACUGAAUCCUGCUUUAAUACAUAUUAUCUCCCUACUGCUUUACUCUUUUUAUU